GGCACUUCCACCCCUGGGUAUUUGUACUGAUCAACCAGGUUACGCUUUCAGCAUUUGCAAACUCAGGAUGGAGAUUUUAGACCCUCUUCAACCUCCAGGUUUCCUCUUUGCAAAGGCCAGCAGCAGAAGCAAAAGAGAUGGAGCCCGGGUUAGCAUUUAUUUUUCUAUUUACCAGUCAUUUGGAAUUUGGACAUUUUCUGUCCUGUGGUUGUGGUGAGGGUGUGGGUUUUGUGUUGUUUUAUAUAUUCUUUGUUAUUUUUUAUUCUAGUUUUUGUUUUUGUUUUGGAAGGUAUUUUAGAGAAAUAAGAUUUCUGUGGUUACCAUGACCUGCUGUUACAGAUUACAUGGUACCCUCUCUUCAUAUGUUGAAGUCCUAGCCACCCCGCCGAACCUCAGAAUGUGACUGUAUUUGGAGAUAGGGUCUUUACAGAGGAAAUCAAGUUAAAAUGAAGUCAUUAGGGCAGGCCCUAAUCCGAUAUGAUCCUGUGUUCUUAGAAGAGGAAAUGUGGACUCAGGUGUGUAUGGAGGGAAGAUGUCUUGCAAGCCCAAGGAGAAGAUGGCCAUCUGAGCCCACGUCCUGGAACAGAGACUUCCCUCACAGCCUCAGAAAGAACCAGCCCUGCUGACGUCUUGAUCUCAGACCUCCAGCCUCCAGAACUGGGAGACGAUUCAGUCAGCAUCUACACAACACAGGGUUGAACUGUGCGGGUCCACUUCUAUGCAGAUUAUUUUCUUUUUUCUUUUUUGAGACAGAGUCUCGCCCGGUUGCUCAGGCUGAAGUGUAGUGGUGUGAUCUUGGCUUACUGCAGCUUCCACCUCCCAGGUGCAAGUGAUUCUCCUGCCUCAGCUUCCCAAGUAGCUGGGACUAUGGGUACUCGCCACCACACCUGGCUAAUUUUUGUAUUUUUAGUAGAGAUGGGGUUUCACCAUGUUGGUCAGGCUGGUCUUGAACUCCUGACCCCAAGUGAUCUGCCUGCCUUGGCCUCCCAGAUUGCUGGGAUUACAGGUGUGAGCCACCGUGCCCGGCCCUAUAUAACUCUUUGUGCAAGUUUUUACCCCUAAAAGAUAUCUGCCAUCUCAGCCAUGGAACAGACACUGUAAGAACAUGAAGGCUCAAGGGCAGGGCUGGCUACAUAAUUUGUGGGACCCAUUACAAAAUGAACAUGGAGAAAAAACUAGAAAAAAGUGUAGUACAAGGUACUAUAAUAGAUUUUUCCUUUGAAAACAGUUUAAUACUUAUAAAAUGUAAUAGAGGGAAAUAGUGACACGUGAGUAACAAAAUGGGCGUAUCAAUUGGUCUAUGCUAUUUUUGGUGUUAUAAUUUUACCUAAUAUAAUAAGCAGCAACACUUUGUUAGUGAGACGGGCUUUCACCAUGUUGGCCAGGCUGGUCUGGAACUCCUGACCUCAGGUGAUCCGCCUGCCUCAGCCUUCCAAAGUGCUGGGAUUACAGGUGUGAGCCUCUGCGCCCGGCUGUGAUGUCUUGAUUGAUCAUAGGAUUUUUCUGGCUAUUCUAGCUACUUCCAAUUCGCUUCAGCCAAUUUAGUUGAAGUUUUAUCACUUGUGACUUCAGAGUCCUGGUUAAUAUCCUGUUGCCCUCAGGACAUGCAGGAUGGAGGAAGGCACCAGGGAGCCGAGGGAAGUGAGCAGAGAGGCAGUCACUUCAGGGCCACCAGCAUAGCCCCCGUCACUGUCCACAGACACAGGCCCUUCCCCUUCUCAUGGUUGAGCAGGCUCCACCUCACUUCCGUGUAUGACUUCAUAGACCGUUAGGUUCCGUGGUACCCUGGAGUCCACAGCUGCUGAAUCUGAAGGGCCAUCAGAAGACUGGCUUCUCCAUGAUGGUUUAUGGACUAAGGCAAAGAUGAGCAGAGCCAUGGCCCUCUUCUUUGUUCUCUGCUGGAUCCAAGAGUCGGGGGUCUCCCUAUGUUUCCCAGGCUGGCCUCGAACUCCUGACCUCAAGUGAUCCUCCCACCUCAGCCUCCCCGAGUGCUGGGAUUAAAGACGUGAGCCACGGCACCUGGCCUGAAUUUUCCUCAAAUUCAAAAAAUCCUGAUGAAGGUUUGGCUAAAAUCUUUGGUGAGUUACCCCACUCCCUGUGGAACCUCAGGCUGGAUUUGAAGAGUUGCGUGCAUGGUCCUCAUUGUCUCCCAGGUAACCUGUUCCCGCUGCUGUGAAGGGAAGGCAGGUGCUCUUCCUUGAGGCUAGAAUCUGUCUACGUGUCACAGUCUCAGGAAAUUAAGCAAAACAGAUGAUAAACACCUCAAAAGGACCCUACUGAGCAUCAGUGGAGCAGAGCAGGGCCAUGUGGGACUGCGGCGUCAGAUGCCACCUCACACUAGCUGUGACACACCUGCCUCGCCAGUUUCUGCUCUGAGGCCCCAAAGCCGAGCUGAACCUCCUCCAGGGGUUCUCAGCCCUAACUGAGCAUGAAAACCCCUGGGGCAAUCCUCUUUUUAACAAUUGAGACAUUCCACACACACCCCACAUCAGAUUUUGGGGUGUGGGGAUAGACCUUCACAUUUGUAGUUUUCUAACCCUCCAGGGGACACUAGGCUGAGACUCAUUGGUCUCCACUCUGAACCUUCCACUGAACAUGUGAGAAAAACUAAGGCCCAGGGAAGUCUUUAGCAGAGAGCUGAGACGGAGAAAAGGGUUCUGAACCACAGCUGUCUGCUGAAGGAAGCUGUCCAAAGGCCAGUGAAGUCUCUCCUGAGGGUGCCUGGGCUGUGCAUCAGGAGUGAAGGUUGAGGGUCACCUUAGGUGUGAGAAGGAGCAACUGGGAGAGUGGCGCUGAUGCUUCCCCCCGGGUUAGGAGGCAUUUGGAUCACAGAGCGAUGCCUGUUCAUUCCUGCUUGCAAGGGAGCAGAUCUCUCGACACCCGAUGGGCCUCUAUUCCGUUCCGGCAGCUGUCCGUGUCAGGAGCGCUGGGCUUGCUCCUCCCCACGGGAGCCAUCACAGAGGCCUCGGGCAGUCUGCAUAGACAACUGCCUGGCAGGUGACCAGGAGGGGAUGCAUGAGCAGAUGCAGGUAGCACUCGCAGUCCCCCUAGCUGUGCCCUCAGCACCUGCUGUCUAGGAGGCAGAAGCCUUGUUCUCGGCCUUGCAGGUGACCCCAGUGUCUCUGAAUUCGGCCCCAUAUGUGUAGGAGGGGAGUGAUUGCAUCUGAAGAUGGGAGUCUGGUUGGGGGUUUGGGAAGCUCCCAUCACCCCUCAAGAGUCCACUGACCAGCCCAGCUCACACCAGGUGGGCCUUGGCACUGGAGGCCACGGCUCAACUCUGCAGUUCCCUCUGGGCAGCAUUUCCAGGGACUCGUAGGUCAGCAUGGUCAUCAAGGACAGGUGGUGAGAGCAGCUCCUCAUUGUCCUGGUGACCCCGAUGGUUCAUUUUCUGGUGUCUCUGUGGUGAGCUCCUGUUACAUCAAGCGAGUGGAAACCACCGAGGACCAACAGCCCUGGAAAUGCACUGAGAAUGCAGGAUGAGUGGGCUUUGUGAGGACUGUUUUCUGUGACUUAGCAAGGAAAGCCUGGAAGGGAAAGUAAAACUGCUUCUUCCCAGGGAAGCCAGAAACCUGAGAACUUAAAAGGGAAGGAGAACUUAAUAUAUUUCAAAAAUGUAACCCUUGUGAAUUAGCAACAGCUUUAUAAACAAAGAGAUUUCCGAGCUUAUAGAAUCUAUUCUGCUUUGUUUCUGCCCCCAUGGCUCCUACCCCUGUUUUUGUGGGUACAAUUUUCAUAUAGAACAUUUUUACACAAGCUUCAAAACUCUCUGAGGACAGCUUUCCCCUUUGUGUCUGUCGGGUCCCAGGCAGUCACAUCCCAGGAAGUGCUGGGGUUGGGCUCCUUGCUCCACAUCCUUCUUCAGUGGCACGAAGCGUGGGGUGGAGUGUGUGAGUCAUGUGUGAUCUUGGUGUGGGCUAUGGCUGGUCUGCAGCACCCCUUCAAUGACUGCUUCAAGGGCUUUUCAUGAUGCUUGUAGCUCAUGAGCUAGUGUUUCCUAGAUGCUGUUUCCAGGUGUCUUGCAUGUCACACACUGGCCUACCAGGGCUGGAGUGAGAUCAUGAGCGCCAGAUUGUUGGUGAAGGAAGUUGACAGAGACAUCGAAUGUCGGUGAACAGGAGUGACCUUGGGUCUCAAUAAAUACUGUGGUCAACUGAAUCCAGAACCCACCCUUACCAGCAGGGCCCACUUCUUCCCCAGCAGGCCGAGCUCUUCCCCUCCUGUCUUCCCUGGCCCUUGCUUUGUAGCUCUGUGUGGCUGUGUCAUGUCUGGUUGUAUCUGUAUAUACUUCUGCCUCUCCCGCUAUCUAGAUGGCUCGGGGAGGCACACCACACACCAGGUCACCUUCCUCUCUGAACCCCCAGCACCUCAUACUGUUUCUGUGCAGAGAUAAGGCUGGGUGAAAGCUUGUGUGAAUGAUCUGAAGUCUUCUACUCUAGGCCAGUCUCCAGGAGCAUUAUGAUCUUUAGGAGGGUGGGCUUGGUUCCUCUGUACAAUAAUGGGUCAUAAAACUGAGUGGUCAAGAUCAUCCCGGUGAGGGCAGUCCGUGUGUUGCCAUAGUUGCUGUACCGGUUAAGAAUGCACCUGGCUGCAAUUUCCUGAAAACCUGACGUAUAGUGGCUUAAACAAAGAGUGGUUUAUUUUCCUUCUGUCAUAGCAAUCUGGGGGAGGCCACUGUGGCUUUGGCGCAGGAGGUCGGGAAAGGCCCGCUUCUCUGAUAUCAUUGGGGGCCUCCCCAGUGCUUGUGUGGCAGAAUGACAAGAGGAAGAAGAAGGAGAAUUAUGGCACUGAGUAUCAUGAGAUUUGGGGUCAUAUAUCUUUAGUGGGCGGUGUUUGCUGCCCCAAAUGUCUCAUGCCAUUAAAAUGUUCUGGAAAUGAUUUAGGUAGUUGGAGUUUCCUUCCCAAAGACAAGGCAUUUACAGCAUGAUGUCCAAUAUCCAUUGAGUUUGUGUCAUGCAUUCAUUGUAUUCAUAGUCUGCUUUAGGUACUUAGCAAAAUAUUGCUGAUAUUAACAUGCCUUUGUUUGCUUCACUGGAGAUGAAAUUGUGCUCCAAGUGUUUUCCAAGGUUCCGUAUGACCCAUCAUUUGAUGAAACAAGAACAGCAGUCAGAUCCAUUACAAAGAGAGACACACAAAAAAACUAUGUGAAAAUGAGCUUAGCCCCUGGUGUUGUGUUGGAACUUCAGAUGCUUGCAGACACUUCAUGAAUGCUCUGUGACACUCAGAAUAGGCUAUUCCCAACAGAAGAGCUUGAACAAUGCUGCAUUUGCAUCAGGUUCAAAUGAGCGAGAGGAACAUUUGGCUAAAAUAUUUGGAACCAGCAUUGCUUGGAAUUCUCCUAAACCAGAAUAUUUCCUUGGCAGUGUGGACAAAAUUCCUGAUAAAGAGAUGGGGUUUCACUGUGUUAGCCAGGAUGGUCUCGAUCUCCUGACCUCAUGAUCCGCCCGCCUCGGCCUCCCAAAGUGCUGGGAUUACAGGCGUGAACCACCAUGCCCGGCCCAGAAUGUCCUUUCUUUUCGAAGCGGAGUAAUAUUCCAUUAUCACCUUUCAGAGGAGAAGAAUUUUAAAGAAUCCUGUCUGUUCGACAGGGAUUUAAGAGAGCAGUUAACUACUAUAGAUAAAGAAACACUUCAAGGAGCAGCUAAACCAGAUCUCCUCUGGCAAACACGACAUAUAAUAUUUUUAUAAUGGAUGGAAAGACAUGGUGGCACAAUUCUGAAGAAAAAAAUUUCACAAAACUUGCAAAAAAACAGAAACAGUUGAAGAGCAGCUCCUGUGUCUAAGCCAGGUCGUGGGGCCGUCAAACCAGGACUUGAAACCACAAUGCGAGGACAUUCUCCAUCUGCGCACCACAGGGAGGCAAUUCCAUUUCUGCCCGGGAGGUGUAUUCUACAAAAACGUCUGCUUCCCAUCCCAAUUUGAAUGGACCAAGAAAAACUGCUUUACCAUAGGACACUUGUGGCAAUAUGGCACCGAUGGCUGGCGUCGGUGAACCCGACAGACUAUGGAUUUAUCAUUUAAUAAAGCAUUGAUUCAUUUUUUCAGUCAUUCAUUGAACAGAUAUUAAUAGACCACCUCACAUGCUGACAAUAUCAAAAUACAAUGAGGAAACUAACAGUGACCCAGGCAUGCAUUCUUCCCCGAGCAAGAUCACAGUCCAUGGUGUGAGCACAACCAUACUAAAUAGCUUUUAUGGGAGGUGGGAGUACAGAAAGUAUUAUAUCUGCAAAGAAACUGCUAAGAAUUGUGGGAGCGCCCCAGGAGGUGAUUUCCUGCUUGCGUGACCAGCACAAAGAAAUGGGGUAAUUGAGAGUGUCAUGAAGUGGGGUUAUUUAUUUAUUGAGUC
rnacentral:lncRNA from 1 species